GGCCAAGUUUUUAAGGGCGCACGGUGGAUGCCUUGGUACCAGGAACCGAUGAAGGACGUGGGAGGCCACGAUAGUCCCCGGGGAGCCGUCAACCAGGCUUUGAUCCGGGGGUUUCCGAAUGGGGAAACCCGGCAGUCGUCAUGGGCUGUCACCCACAUCUGAACACAUAGGGUGUGUGGAGGGAACGCGGGGAAGUGAAACAUCUCAGUACCCGCAGGAAGAGAAAACAACCGUGAUUCCGGGAGUAGUGGCGAGCGAAACCGGAUGAGGCCAAACCGUAUGUGUGUGAGACCCGGCAGGGGUUGCGCAUGCGGGGUUGGGGGAUCUCUCUUUCACAGUCUGCCGGCUGUGAGACGAGUCAGAAACCGUUGGUGUAGGCGAAGGACAUGCGAAAGGUCCGGCGUAGAGGGUAAGACCCCCGUAGUCGAAACAUCAACGGCUCGUUUGAGAGACACCCAAGUAGCACGGGGCCCGAGAAAUCCCGUGUGAAUCUGGCGGGACCACCCGCUAAGCCUAAAUAUUCCCUGGUGACCGAUAGCGGAUAGUACCGUGAGGGAAUGGUGAAAAGUACCGCGGGAGCGGAGUGAAAUAGUACCUGAAACCGUGUGCCUACAAGCCGUGGGAGCGUCGCGCAAGGAACUUGUUCCUUGCGUCGUGACUGCGUGCCUUUUGAAGAAUGAGCCUGCGAGUUUGCGGUGUGUUGCGAGGUUAACCCGUGUGGGGAAGCCGUAGCGAAAGCGAGUCCGAAUAGGGCGAUUCAGUAGCGCGCUCAAGACCCGAAGCGGAGUGAUCUAGCCAUGGGCAGGUUGAAGCGGCUGUAAGAGGUCGUGGAGGACCGAACCCACCAGGGUUGAAAACCUGGGGGAUGACCUGUGGUUAGGGGUGAAAGGCCAAUCAAACUCCGUGAUAGCUGGUUCUCCCCGAAAUGCAUUUAGGUGCAGCGUCGUGUGUUUCUUGCCGGAGGUAGAGCACUGGAUAGGCGAUGGGCCCUACCGGGUUACUGACCUUAGCCAAACUCCGAAUGCCGGUAAGUGAGAGCGCGGCAGUGAGACUGUGGGGGAUAAGCUCCAUGGUCGAGAGGGAAACAGCCCAGAGCAUCGACUAAGGCCCCUAAGCGUACGCUAAGUGGGAAAGGAUGUGGAGUCGCACAGACAACCAGGAGGUUGGCUUAGAAGCAGCCACCCUUGAAAGAGUGCGUAAUAGCUCACUGGUCUAGUGAUUCCGCGCCGACAAUGUAGCGGGGCUCAAGCGUACCGCCGAAGUCGUGUCAUUCCAGCAUAUAGGGCCAACGCCCGCUGGGAUGGGUAGGGGAGCGUCGUGUGCCGGGUGAAGCCGCGCCGGAAGGCAGUGGUGGACGGUUCACGAGUGAGAAUGCAGGCAUGAGUAGCGAUACACACGUGAGAAACGUGUGCGCCGAUUGACUAAGGGUUCCUGGGUCAAGCUGAUCUGCCCAGGGUAAGUCGGGACCUAAGGCGAGGCCGACAGGCGUAGUCGAUGGAUAACCGGUUGAUAUUCCGGUACCCGCUGUGAAGCGUCAAACAUCGAACCAGGCGAUGCUAAGUCCGUGAAGCCGUUCCGGACCCUUCGGGGAAUGGAAAGUGGUGGAGCCGACGGACCAGACCUGUAGUAGGUGAGUGAUGGGGUGACGCAGGAAGGUAGUCCAGCCCGGGCGGUGGUUGUCCCGGGGUAAGGGUGUAGGACGUCAGGUAGGUAAAUCCGCCUGGCACAUAGUCUGAGACCUGAUGCCGAGCCGAUUGUGGUGAAGUGGAUGAUCCUAUGCUGUCGAGAAAAGCCUCUAGCGAGUUUCAUGGCGGCCCGUACCCUAAACCGACUCAGGUGGUCAGGUAGAGAAUACCGAGGCGUUCGGGUGAACUAUGGUUAAGGAACUCGGCAAAAUGCCCCCGUAACUUCGGGAGAAGGGGGGCCAUUCUUGGUGAUCCGAUUUACUCGGUGAGCUGGGGGUGGCCGCAGAGACCAGCGAGAAGCGACUGUUUACUAAAAACACAGGUCCGUGCGAAGCCGUAAGGCGAUGUAUACGGACUGACGCCUGCCCGGUGCUGGAACGUUAAGGGGACCGGUUAGUACGCUUUCGGGCGUGCGAAGCUGAGAACUUAAGCGCCAGUAAACGGCGGUGGUAACUAUAACCAUCCUAAGGUAGCGAAAUUCCUUGUCGGGUAAGUUCCGACCUGCACGAAUGGCGUAACGACUUCUCGACUGUCUCAACCAUAGGCCCGGUGAAAUUGCACUACGAGUAAAGAUGCUCGUUUCGCGCAGCAGGACGGAAAGACCCCGGGACCUUUACUAUAGUUUGAUAUUGGUGUUCGGUUCGGCUUGUGUAGGAUAGCUGGGAGACUGUGAAGCUUGAGCGCCAGCUCAGGUGGAGUCGUCGUUGAAAUACCAGUCUGGUCGUGCUGGAUGUCUAACCUGGGUCCGUGAUCCGGAUCAGGGACAGUGUCUGAUGGGUAGUUUAACUGGGGCGGUUGCCUCCUAAAGAGUAACGGAGGCGCCCAAAGGUUCCCUCAGCCUGGUUGGCAAUCAGGUGUUGAGUGUAAGUGCACAAGGGAGCUUGACUGUGAGACCGACGGGUCGAGCAGGGACGAAAGUCGGGACUAGUGAUCCGGCGGUGGCUUGUGGAAGCGCCGUCGCUCAACGGAUAAAAGGUACCCCGGGGAUAACAGGCUGAUCUUCCCCAAGAGUCCAUAUCGACGGGAUGGUUUGGCACCUCGAUGUCGGCUCGUCGCAUCCUGGGGCUGGAGUCGGUCCCAAGGGUUGGGCUGUUCGCCCAUUAAAGCGGUACGCGAGCUGGGUUUAGAACGUCGUGAGACAGUUCGGUCCCUAUCCGCUGUGCGCGUAGGAGUCUUGAGAAGGGCUGUCCCUAGUACGAGAGGACCGGGACGGACGAACCUCUGGUGUGCCAGUUGUCCUGCCAAGGGCAUGGCUGGUUGGCUACGUUCGGGAGGGAUAACCGCUGAAAGCAUCUAAGCGGGAAGCCUGCUUCGAGAUGAGGACUCCCACCCACUUGAUGGGUUAAGGCUCCCAGUAGACGACUGGGUUGAUAGGCCGGAUGUGGAAGCCCUGUAAAGGGUGGAGCUGACCGGUACUAAUAGGCCGAGGGCUUGUCCUC
rnacentral:rRNA from 1 species